GUGACUGCGUACCUUUUGUAUAAUGGGUCAGCGACUUAUAUUCUGUAGCAAGGUUAACCGUAUAGGGGAGCCGAAGGGAAACCGAGUCUUAACUGGGCGUUAAGUUGCAGGGUAUAGACCCGAAACCCGGUGAUCUAGCCAUGGGCAGGUUGAAGGUUGGGUAACACUAACUGGAGGACCGAACCGACUAAUGUUGAAAAAUUAGCGGAUGACCUGUGGCUGGGGGUGAAAGGCCAAUCAAACCGGGAGAUAGCUGGUUCUCCCCGAAAGCUAUUUAGGUAGCGCCUCGUGAACUCAUCUUCGGGGGUAGAGCACUGUUUCGGCUAGGGGGCCAUCCCGGCUUACCAACCCGAUGCAAACUACGAAUACCGAAGAAUGUUAUCACGGGAGACACACGGCGGGUGCUAACGUCCGUCGUGAAGAGGGAAACAACCCAGACCGCCAGCUAAGGUCCCAAAGUCAUGGUUAAGUGGGAAACGAUGUGGGAAGGCACAGACAGCCAGGAUGUUGGCUUAGAAGCAGCCAUCAUUUAAAGAAAGCGUAAUAGCUCACUGGUCGAGUCGGCCUGCGCGGAAGAUGUAACGGGGCUAAACCAUGCACCGAAGCUGCGGCAGCGACACUAUGUGUUGUUGGGUAGGGGAGCGUUCUGUAAGCCGUUGAAGGUGUGCUGUGAGGCAUGCUGGAGGUAUCAGAAGUGCGAAUGCUGACAUAAGUAACGAUAAAGCGGGUGAAAAGCCCGCUCGCCGGAAGACCAAGGGUUCCUGUCCAACGUUAAUCGGGGCAGGGUGAGUCGACCCCUAAGGCGAGGCCGAAAGGCGUAGUCGAUGGGAAACAGGUUAAUAUUCCUGUACUUGGUGUUACUGCGAAGGGGGGACGGAGAAGGCUAUGUCAGCCGGGCGACGGUUGUCCCGGUUUAAGCAUGUAGGCGGAGGUUCCAGGUAAAUCCGGUACCUUUUAACGCUGAGGUGUGAUGACGAGGCACUACGGUGCUGAAGUGAUAAAUGCCCUGCUUCCAGGAAAAGCCUCUAAGCAUCAGGUAACACGAAAUCGUACCCCAAACCGACACAGGUGGUCAGGUAGAGAAUACCAAGGCGCUUGAGAGAACUCGGGUGAAGGAACUAGGCAAAAUGGUGCCGUAACUUCGGGAGAAGGCACGCUGAUAUGUAGGUGAAGUCCCUGCGGACGGAGCUGAAAUCAGUCGAAGAUACCAGCUGGCUGCAACUGUUUAUUAAAAACACAGCACUGUGCAAACACGAAAGUGGACGUAUACGGUGUGACGCCUGCCCGGUGCCGGAAGGUUAAUUGAUGGGGUUAGCGGCAACGCGAAGCUCUUGAUCGAAGCCCCGGUAAACGGCGGCCGUAACUAUAACGGUCCUAAGGUAGCGAAAUUCCUUGUCGGGUAAGUUCCGACCUGCACGAAUGGCGUAAUGAUGGCCAGGCUGUCUCCACCCGAGACUCAGUGAAAUUGAACUCGCUGUGAAGAUGCAGUGUACCCGCGGCAAGACGGAAAGACCCCGUGAACCUUUACUAUAGCUUGACACUGAACACUGGUCCUUGAUGUGUAGGAUAGGUGGGAGGCUUUGAAGCGUGGACGCCAGUCUGCGUGGAGCCAUCCUUGAAAUACCACCCUUUAAUGGCUGGUGUUCUAACGUAGACCCGUGAUCCGGGUUGCGGACAGUGUCUGGUGGGUAGUUUGACUGGGGCGGUCUCCUCCCAAAGAGUAACGGAGGAGCACGAAGGUUGGCUAAUCCUGGUCGGACAUCAGGAGGUUAGUGCAAUGGCAUAAGCCAGCUUGACUGCGAGCGUGACGGCGCGAGCAGGUGCGAAAGCAGGUCAUAGUGAUCCGGUGGUUCUGAAUGGAAGGGCCAUCGCUCAACGGAUAAAAGGUACUCCGGGGAUAACAGGCUGAUACCGCCCAAGAGUUCAUAUCGACGGCGGUGUUUGGCACCUCGAUGUCGGCUCAUCACAUCCUGGGGCUGAAGUAGGUCCCAAGGGUAUGGCUGUUCGCCAUUUAAAGUGGUACGCGAGCUGGGUUUAGAACGUCGUGAGACAGUUCGGUCCCUAUCUGCCGUGGGCGCUGGAGAAUUGAGGGGGGCUGCUCCUAGUACGAGAGGACCGGAGUGGACGCAUCACUGGUGUUCGGGUUGUCAUGCCAAUGGCACUGCCCGGUAGCUAAAUGCGGAAGAGAUAAGUGCUGAAAGCAUCUAAGCACGAAACUUGCCCCGAGAUGAGUUCUCCCUGAGACUUUAAGUCUCCUGAAGGAACGUUGAAGACGACGACGUUGAUAGGUCGGGUGUGUAAGCGCAGCGAUGCGUUGAGCUAACCGAUACUAAUGAACCGUGAGGCUUAACCUU
rnacentral:rRNA from 1 species